rnacentral:pre_miRNA from 1 species
GAUGCAUCCGGAUGAAGUCUUCAUCGGCCGUAAAUCGCAUUGCAUUAGGUCGGUGGGACUUUCGUCCGUUUGCAGG